AGCGAACGCUGGCGGCAGGCCUAACACAUGCAAGUCGAACGAAGCCUUCGGGCUUAGAGGCGGACGGGUGAGUAACACGUGGGAGCGUACCUUUUGGUUGGGAACAGCUCAGGGAAACUUGAGCUAAUACUGGAUGAGCCCUUAGGGGGAAAGAUUUAUCGCCGAAAGAGCGGCCCGCGUUAGAUUAGCUAGUUGGUGAGGUAAAGGCUCACCAAGGGAACGAUCUAUAGUUGGUCUGAGAGGAUGAUCAGCCACACUGGGACUGAGACACGGCCCAGACUCCUACGGGAGGCAGCAGUGGGGAAUCUUGCGCAAUGGGCGAAAGCCUGACGCGGCCAUGCCGCGUGAAUGAUGAAGGUCUUAGGAUUGUAAAAUUCUUUUACCAGGGACGAUAAUGACGGUACCUGGAGAAAAAGCCCCGGCUAACUUCGUGCCAGCCGCCGCAGUAACAC
rnacentral:rRNA from 1 species